rnacentral:rRNA from 1 species
UACGUAGGGUGCGAGCGUUGUCCGGAAUUAUUGGGCGUGAAGAGCUUGUAGGCGGUUUGUCGCGUCUGCUGUGAAAAUCCGAGGCUCAACUUCGGACUCGCAGUGGGUACGGGCAGACUAGAGUGUGGUAGGGGAGACUGGAAUUCCUGGUGUAGCGGUGGAAUGCGCAGAUAUCAGGAGGAACACCGAUGGCGAAGGCAGGUCUCUGGGCCACUACUGACGCUGAGAAGCGAAAGCAUGGGGAGCGAACAGG